rnacentral:tRNA from 1 species
CGCUUAUUCUGAUAGAGCAACGGUUUCCUAAACCGUCGAUCUGGGUUCGAGUCCCGGCAGGAGUACCA